UUUUUUUUUUUUCCCUUUUUCUUCAAUACACCUGGAGAAUAUUUUGAUAAAAACAAAGCAAAGAAAAAGGACUCUGACUCAGAAAAAAAAAAUACAAUCUUAGAAUACUCCCUUUCUCAUAUAUACACAGUAUAUACUCCCUUUCUUUUUAUACUCUAAAGAUUAAAAGUAGGCAACAAACUGGGUAAAGAUAGAACAGUAAAGCUCAACAGGAAAAAUGAACAGUGGGUUUUUGGCUGUGGGAACAGAGAUCCUCUCUGGAACCUGUAGAAUAUCUGAGUCUAGGAGUUUUUAUUUAUUUCUCUCCAUUCUUAUUUUAUAUAGUUGAUACUGACUAGUGCUAACAAUGUAAAAUAUAGUGUUAUUUCCAUGCAGAUAUACAUUUUAUCUUCAAUUCAAGUUUACAUGGGGAUUUGUUUUGCUUUUUUUCCUUCCCGACUUAAUGGAGGAAGAAAUUGAGCUUUGGACCAUUUAAAUAAUUUGUACUCUCUCUCUCAAAGCUCAUAAUGAAAAAAAAAAAUAGAAUUCAGGCCAAGGUCUAUAUGAUUUCACAGUUUACUUAUGAUCAUUUAAGGCAGUUCUCCCUCCUGUUUCUUGAAAGGAACAAAGAAAGGAUAUCUAAAGAAUUGAGUAUUCUGGGUGAAAAUUUCCUUUGAAUUUAGAAAGUCAUGGAUCUAUUUCAUGGUGGAAAUAUCAAUAGAGACAAAGGAUUGAACAAAGUAGAUUAUUACAAUUGAAAGAAUUUUAAAACUAAAAUAGCAUCCACCAAGUGUUCUUAAUAAAUCCUAUAGUAUGCAUAUUUAUUAUUUCUAUUUUAAAUAAAAACAUAUGUUUUGGAUAGCAGUCAAGUAUUAACUUAAUAAUGGCUUGUUUAUAUGGUACAUAAAUUUAGUAAUAAAUAGAAGUUUUGUGCUUUGCCUUUAUUCAGUGCUGUAUUUAUUAUAGGAUAUGAGCUUACUGAAUAACAGUAAAUUCCAGAGACUUGACAAGAAGUGAAGUACAAUUCUGAGGAAGCACUUGUACGUGGAUAACAGUUCCCAUGCAUUUGAUUUCUGCUGGGGUAGUGUCUAUACUGUAAGACUUAAUUUGAAAUAUUUGGACCUGAAAAUAGUAAACAGAAUCAGUGAUCCAAUAGGAAAACAAAAAACAAAAAUUGCAAACCCCAAAAUAUAGAGCUAGUUUCCUCAGAUUUAUGAAACAUAGAGAUCUUUAAGUCUCAUUUUGAGAAUGAAUAAGGACUUCAUGUUAAAGAGAGGUUUUGACUAUGUGGCAAAUGAUUAAUUUCUAAGUCCACAAAAGAAUAAGUCAAAAUUUUAUCUUCAACAUAAGUCUGGCUUCUAACAAAUAUAAAAUGCCACAUUUUAAGCCAAGUGAAACAGGAAAACCUCUAAGGAAAUUUAUCUCCAUUCAUGAGUUUAAGCUAUGUCAUUUCUUUCUUGAAGACUCCUUAUCUCAAAGGUAAUGCUACCACUCUCACUUCUUGAGUAAAAAAAAAUUUAAAAAAAACUUCAAAGUAUAAUUUUAGAAUCAAAAUAUAAAUGAAAAGAAUAAGAAAAACUCCUUUCAGAAUUAUAUACAAUUUUAAAAUGAGCUAUUCCUUGCAUCAUAUAACCAUAUUGGAGAAAGUUUCCAUUCUAUAGGUAAAAAGAACUUUUCAGAUUUUAUUAAUGUAGUUAAAAUAUUUUUAGAAGAAAUGUUAAAUAGAAUCAAUAUUAAGUUAUUAUCCUUUUUUGAACUGUUUCAUAAUAUAUUUUCUAGAGCCUUUUAUCUUUAUGAAAAUCUACUCACGCUUUUUCAAGAACAGCUGUUCAACUUUUCCAGUUUUAUUUAUUUUUUUUUAUUUUUGCAUUUUUAGGGCUGCACCCGUAGCAUAUAGAAAUUACCAGGCUAGGGGUCGAACUGGAGCUGCAGCCGCCAGCCUAUGCCACAGCAACACAGGAUCCCCAACCCACUGAGUGAGGCUAGGGAUCAAACCUGCAUCUUCAUUGAUUCUUGUCAGAUUCAUUUCUGCUGAGCCACAAUGGGAACUCCCAACUUUUUAGGCUGUACAAUCUUGAGUUUGUAUUUUUUUUAUUCUGCUACUUAAAAAUAAUAGAAAUCUCUUUUCUAUCAAUGUUCCAUAAUUUUUGAAGAAAUAAAUGUGGGAAUGAAAGCCACAUAUUUUAAGGCUAUAUUCUAAUUUUAGGGCAAAAUAUACUGCCCUUUAUGCAUAUUGGCUUAUUAAAACUAGUUUUGAGUUAAAAAUUUUUGAUUUAUUACAAAACAUCUUUUGAUUCAACACAUAUUUACUUGAAAAUUUCCUAUACAACAAACUCUGUGAAAGGUACUUAGAGUAUGGAAAUAAUCAAAGCUGCCCUUCUGUCCAACCACAGCUCAGUAUAAUAAGAAAAAAAAAAAAACAGCCUGCACCUCCCCUGAUAAACAACAAUAAAGGUGCUUUGGGGAUAAAGAAAAGUGCUAUCUCUCUCCAAAGACAGAGAAUAGAAAAGAGAGAAAAAAGAAUACAUUCACUGAGGAGAAAUCUAAUGAAUACAACACUAGCCAGAUGAUGAAAGUCAGCAUCAACAAUCAUAAACUCUAUUGAUGUAUGUGUUUGGAGAAAGUAUGCCGAAAAUGGCACUUUUUCUCUGUCAUCUUCCUCCCAAUAACUUAGAAUCCCAAUAUUAUUAUUAUUUUUAAUAGUUAUUUUCCCCAAUACAAUUUUUUUCUACUGUACAGCAUGGUGACCCAGCUACCCAUACAUGUACACAUUCUAUUUUCGUACAUUAUCAUGCUCCAUCGCAAGUAACUAGACGUAGUUCCCAAGGCUACACAGCAGAAUCUCAUUGCUAAUCCAUUCCAAAGGCAAUAGUUUGUAUCUAUGAAUCCCAAUAUUAUCAUGAGAAAAUCAUGAGAUGUAUUCCAUAUAACCUACUUUAAAAUAUCUGUUUAGUCUUAGGUAGAAACUAAAAGACAGGCCUAAGAAUGAAUAAGUCCGCAUGGCUCAUUGACUCACCCAGACCCGGACCUGCAGUCUCCACUUUAUCAGACCUCCACAGGUGAAACAUCCAAGCCCAGGAAGUGGCUGACAAAGACAGCUCCAAGGAGAAAAUUAAAUUUUAUACCAUGAUCUCAACUGCCAUCCUGGAACUGUAGAACUCAGAACAUGACCCCCUGCCUAUAAAACCUGAUUCUCUCCCAACAGCAGUGGCCCUGAGUUUUACUUGCUCAGUGCUCCUGGCCACUCUGUUGGCCAAUAAACCCUGCUUGCAAACUCACUGCUCCAGCCUCUGCCUCCUUCCUCCCUACUGCCCUCACAAUUAGUACUCCUCCAAAUUGACAAAGUCACUGAAAAACGAGAAAUUACCAUGGCCAUAAGGAGCCUAAGUAGACAUGACAAACAAAUGCAGUGUAGAAUCCUGGAUGAAAUCUUGGUACAAAUGAAGGACAUUAGAUAAAAACUAAGGAAAUCUUAAUAAGCCAUGAAAUUUAAUUAAUAAAGUAAUUAUUUAAUAUAUGCAUGGUAACCUUGAACUGCACUGUUCUAAAAAAAUUAAGCCAAUUUUUAAAAAAAUGAGUUUCUAUAAAGCAGAGUUUUAUAGGGAUAUCUCUAACACUUUGAGCAAUUUUAAAAAUGUUCAUUUUUUUGGUUUUCUACAAGAAAUACUUUUGUUACAUUGCUCUAUGCUUUGUCCAUUUCAUAGGUUUUCUUUUAAAUCACAAGCCUUCUUUACAAGAUAAUAAAAUUUAUCUUGGGUUUUAUUUCACAAUUUAUGAAAGGAAAGAAAAUCUGUCAGUGGUCUAAACUAAUUUUAUUGACAUCUCUUUAGUAUUUGAUUCCUCUGAUCACUGAUUCCACCUUGAUCUGUUGAAGUGAGGCAUGAGAUUUAGUAGGACAGUAAAUUAGCUUUUACUUUAUCUUUAUAGGAAAAACAAUUUCUAGAUUCCUUUUUCCUGAGCCACCUCCUGCCAAGACGGAACUGACAAACAACUACCCUCAACUUUACUGUGAGGGAGGGAAAAAAAAAAAAAAGUUGGGUAUCUGCCCUCCAAUUCCUGCCAAGUUUAAUUUUCCUUCACAAGACUUCAAAGUACAGCUUUCUAGCAGCACUUUAAUGAAUUGUGUUCCUCUAUCAGAACUCAUUAUCUGAGCCUGUAUUCUUGGUUGUUUUCCACCUGAUACAAAGGUUAACAGUACCAGAAUAGACAUGGACAUUUUGGCUAAGAAAUAACUUUAAGUUUUUGAUAAACCCUAUAGAAAAUACAUAAAGUAGUCAUUAUAUUGUACAUCCAUACCCUAGUAUCCAAUGCAGGGGCAGGAGAAUUGGUUUCAGAACCAUCUUGGAUUAAAAUUCCAAAGAAGUUCAAGUUCCUUAAAUAAAAUAUCAUAGUACUUACAUAUAACAUACAUAAAUACUCCACUAUACUCUAAAUAAUCUCCAGAUUACUUAUAGUACCUAAUAGAAUACAAAUGUUAUAUAUGUAGCU
rnacentral:lncRNA from 1 species